AAGGUAGAUUGAUUGAAUAAAAGCUGCUAACUUAUUAUUCAAGUGGUUUAAAUCCAUUUAUACCUUU
rnacentral:tRNA from 1 species